CUCAGCAGUUGCAAUUAUUGCUUAAUUGCAACGGCUGCAGAUUUUUGGAGAACGCACGCAUUGAGACUGCCAAAGUCCUGCGUCGGCAGUCCUCAAUUAUUCUGGGUCGUUGUUAUAAGAUUAGAUUACAACAGCGACCUGCUUAUCUCUAAGUAUUACAUGUAAGUAGCGCACAGCGAGACUUACAGCAAUAUUUACAUAUGGUAAAUUGAAGAGAUUAAAUACUUAAUUGUAUUUUCUUGUUAUUUAACAGAUCUUUGGAUUUUCUAAUCGCAAUAAUGACUGAUCUGAUUAAAGGGAUAUUAAACUCGAGAUCAAACUCCAAAAUGUCGCUGUUUUACGACGAUUUCCUUCCCAUUAACGUCAUUUAUCGAACGACUGUUGAACUACGUAGUGUGAACCCUUACGAAGCCGUGUUGAAUGGCAUCAUUUUAGCCCCGUUAUUGAAGAGUGCGGACGUCUGAUAACCUGGUGUUAUGUAUGUGUGUCAGACUUAGGAGAUGGACGAGAAGGAGGAACAGUGAGUAGCAAUUAAAUUUUGCUGCAAAGCUGAUCUUUAUAUUAUUAUGUAGAUUUUCAGCGACAAAGACAUUUGAAUUGAUUCAGAAGGCACGUACAAAAUUUCAUUGCUACUAUCUAAAUUUUUUGGAACAAAUCUCACUCCAAAAGAUUGAAAAUACUGCCAUUCUAUGGCUACUUGAAUGGCAGUAUUUUCCGGGAACUUAUGGACGCACUGUGUAUACAUAAAUUUGUCGGUUAUCAAUAUAUUUUUAUUAGGCUUCUAUACUUAAUUAUAACGACUCACAUAUAUUAAUUUCUUUAUUGUACAUCUGACCCUACCUUUAUUUCAAACAUAUAACCUGUCUAACUUUUCCACGAAAUAAACGUGGUAAAUUAACGUUGGUAAAUUAACAGCAUUAAUCGCCAUGUUGAGAUUAAAAUGGAUAACAAAACCUGUAAUUAUUUCAUUUUUUCCCGCACAAAAUACACCAGGGCCAUAUACAUUAGCAUGUGUGUUUUAAUCAUGGAAAA